CCGAGAGGCAGGCUACAGAUGACGGUUGACAUUCUGGCUGGGCGGCGGACGGAUCAUAUGGCAGUUUGGAACUGUCAUACAGCCUUGUUGAACACACAGUGAGCCUCGGAGAUUUUACGAUGUUUGUGUACAGUAUGGAUGCGCACUAAUGCGCUCAGACCACUAGAGGGCGGCAUGCUAAAGCUCAACAUGAGUUCACAGGAGUCAUAUAUCAGGAUCAUUAUUAUGAAAGUAGUUCCUGGUGUGCAGGAUUGAGCUCCAGCUGUCAACCAUCUCCAAUCAAGCUAAAAGCUGGUCCUCCAAUCCACGUCUUCACCUGAUCCUAGACUAAUCUACAAGUCAACCAUAUUCCAGCCCAUCAACCUUACAAAUGUCGCUUCCACCGUCUCUCUUAAACAAAGCUCAAGAGUUAUUCCCAUGCUGCCACUCUGAGUUCAGAAAGCCCCAUUCUUAGAAAGGCCAUUCUCCCAUUAACCAGGGCAACUCCACUCAAGGUACAAGCUUCUCAGGCAUUUUAUCCUCUGG